rnacentral:rRNA from 1 species
AACGAACGCUGGCGGCAUGCCUAACACAUGCAAGUCGAACGGGACGGCCGGGUUUAGUGGCGCAGGGCGGGGUAAGGCGUGGGAACCUGCCCGUAAGUACGGAGUAAUUCACUGUAGGGGGUGUUAAUGAAGGUUAGUGUCUUCGGGCAAAAGAUUUAUCGCCUUUGGGUGGGGGCGCGUUAGAUUAGCUAGUUGGUAGGGUACAAGCAUACCAAGGCGACGAUCCAGAGCUGGUGUGGUAGGAUGAUCAGCCACACUGGGACUGAGACACGGCCUAGACUCGUACGGGAGGCAGCAGUGUGUAAUAUUGUACGAUGGACGAAAGCCUGGCCCAGCAGUGCCGGGUAAGUGAGGAAUGCGUUAGGGUUGUAAAGCUCUUUUACCCGGGAUGAUAAUGACAGUACCGGGAGAAUAAGCUCCGGCUAACUCCGUG